AAUGGGCGAAAGCCUGACGGAGCAAUACCGCGUGAGGGAGGAAGGCUCUUGGGUUGUAAACCUCUUUUCUCAGGGAAGAAAAAAAUGACGGUACCUGAGGAAUAAGCAUCGGCUAACUCCGUGCCAGCAGCCGCGGUAAUACGGAGGAUGCAAGCGUUAUCCGGAAUGAUUGGGCGUAAAGGGUCCGCAGGUGGCUAUGUAAGUCUGCUGUUAAAUAGUCAUGCUCAACAUGAUAAAGGCAGUGGAAACUACAAGGCUAGAGUGCGUUCGGGGCAGAGGGAAUUCCUGGUGUAGCGGUGAAAUGCGUAGAUAUCAGGAAGAACACCGGUGGCGAAAGCGCUCUGCUAGGCCGCAACUGACACUGAGGGACGAAAGCUAGGGGAGCGAAUGGGAUUAGAUACCCCAGUAGUCCUAGCCGUAAACGAUGGAUACUAGGCGUGGCUUGUAUCGACCCGAGCCGUGCCGUAGCUAACGCGUUAAGUAUCCCGCCUGGGGAGUACGCACGCAAGUGUGAAACUCAAAGGAAUUGACGGGGGCCCGCACAAGCGGUGGAGUAUGUGGUUUAAUUCGAUGCAACGCGAAGAACCUUACCAAGACUUGACAUGUCGCGAAUCUUCUUGAAAGGGGAGAGUGCCUUCGGGAGCGCGAACACAGGUGGUGCAUGGCUGUCGUCAGCUCGUGUCGUGAGAUGUUGGGUUAAGUCCCGCAACGAGCGCAACCCUCGUUUCUAGUUGCCAGCAAUAAGAUGGGAACUCUAGAGAGACUGCCGGUGACAAACCGGAGGAAGGUGGGGAUGACGUCAAGUCAGCAUGCCCCUUACGUCUUGGGCUACACACGUACUACAAUGCUACGGACAAAGGGCAGCUACACAGCGAUGUGAUGCAAAUCUCAUAAACCGUAGCUCAGUUCAGAUCGAAGGCUGCAACUCGCCUUCGUGAAGGAGGAAUCGCUAGUAAUUGCAGGUCAGCAUACUGCAGUGAAUUCGUUCCCGGGCCUUGUACACACCGCCCGUCACACCAUGGGAAGUCGGUCACGCCCGAAGUCAUUACCCCAACCUUUAUGGAGGGGGAUGCCUAAGGUAGGACUGGUGACUGGGGUGAAGUC
rnacentral:rRNA from 1 species